rnacentral:misc_RNA from 1 species
UCUCCGUUGGUGAACCAGCGGAGGGAUCAUUACCGAGUUUACAACUCCCAAACCCCUAUGUGAACGUUACCAAACUGUUGCCUCGGCGGGAAAUUCAUGCCCCGGGCGCGUCGCAGCCCCGGACCAAGGCGCCCGCCGGAGGACCAACCAAAACUCUUUUGUAAGUCCCUCGCGGACUUUUAUAGUUCUGAACCAUCUCGGCGCCCCUAGCGGGCGUUUCGAAAAUGAAUCAAAACUUUCAACAACGGAUCUCUUGGUUCUG